UCUGCCAACUUUUUUUUGAAUCAAAUAUCACAACUAUAAUUAUUCAAUGUCACACAACUCUAACAAGACUCUUUCAACCCUAUGAAUGAGUGAUAACAUUGUUUUUCACUUCCAAACUUGUAAUGAGUUUAAACAAAGAAUGGGAUAAUAUGCUCAAGGGGAUUUUCAAACAAGGGGGAUGAUAUUAUUCAGGGUUGACUUUUUGGCUACUGGCUAAAAACUAAAUAAAACAAAAACAAGUUUCCUUUAUCAUAUCAAUAUGCAUAAG
rnacentral:lncRNA from 1 species